UUGGUGACGUCAUGUGAAAACCAGCUGUAGGUUUUGACAAGACAAAAACCGUUAAAUAACUAUUAUAAUGUAUUUUCAUGUAAAUGACACAAAGUGGCCCGAAAUGGCUUCCUUGAAGGAUGUUUGCACUUUCACAUAAACAAAUUAACGCUUAGCAAAAAUACUUGCUUGAAACAGAGAGUACAACACUUGCAUAUUCACGUAAGAGAAAUACAGUAACAACAGCAAAAAGCCUGUGGUUUCAGUGAAAAGCCUGAAGGUUACAUCAAAGACCGGCUGUCAAACAGUCAGUGGGGAAUGGCAAACAAAAUGAAGUCCACCGUUUUUCGAAAGAUACGCUAUUUGAGUACUCUGAAUAAUAGCCUAGUUGAGAACCCUAUAAUAUAUUAAGCAUUGGCGAUUUUCGCCGAAGCUGGUCUCUCCGACAGCCCCGAUUAAUUAACACAAUUUGCUUACCUCAUGUAAAUGUAUGUUUGACAACUUGCAAAGUACUUUCCCACAAUGCCUCCAAAGAGAAUGAUUACCUUAAUAAUUUUUAACCUUAGUCAGCAGUUGAUUCUUAAUCCUAGUUCUAGUUUUAAACCUUAGUCUUACUAUCACGUUUUUAGCUUUUAUUACUUCUGUAUUUUAGACAUAUAAUGUAUAUUUUACCUGAAAACUACCUCUAGGUGAUUGGAGGCCUCCUCUGAAAAUAUUAGUUUAUUAUUAUUAUAUUAUUAUUAUUACCUGCGUGCCAUAAUAUUUUGGGGAGGCCUGGUUUUGAAAACAGGACAGUUUGCGACGUCUGUUAAAAGUGGUUGUGUGGACCAUUUUUUAGUCGUCUCAGGUGACUGGAGGACCGCUAAUUUCAAGCACUGCAUCACUCUAAUAUGGAAUCCCCCACCCUACCCCCUGUAGCUCAAUAGCCUUACCUUGAAUGGUGGUAUAUGGUUCUUUUUUUGUGCUAAUUGUUUUCUAGGUGAGAGUCAAUGUUGCCCAAAAUAACCUCGUGUUAUUGAUCUAUCUCAUGCGAAUGGUGAAAGCACUGCUGGAUAAUCCAACACUCUACUUGGAAAAAUAUCUUCAUGAGUUGAUACCAGCAGUUAUUACAUGUAUUGUGAGUAAACAACUCAGUCCCAAUCCCGACACUGAUAACCAUUGGGCACUUAGAGACUUUGGAUCAAGAGUUGUUGCACAAGUUUGCAGGUCUUUUAAUUCCACCACAAAUAAUGUUCAAACACGAGUCACUAAAACAUACUGCAAGGUGAGUGACAGACCUUAGGGGUACAAAUUAUUCUAAGCAAUAAACAAAUUAUCCUCAAAGUAAAGGGAAUCUUACAUAUUAGUUUCAAGGUCAUUUCAAUGGGUAAGAAAAACCUCAAGCUGCCAAUUGACCCAUCAUUACAUGACACCAAGUGACUGUCAAAAAACACAUGAAUCUUGCUCAAUAUAAACUGUUGAUGAUUUACAAGUUUUGUUUGAAGUAUCAUUAAAACCAAGGGGUGGUGAAUGGUCCUUCAAAAACCACGGGUCUCACAAAAUCUUUGUCGAAUUUCAUAGGUCUCACAGUCUUGAUUUUUGGCAGUAAUACAUGUGUGUCUCGCAGUCUCAAUUUUUUCACAAGGCUGUCUGGAGUCUCGAUUUUUUGCAAGGUUAAUAAAGUCUCGAAGUCCGGAUUUGUUUGUGUGCUUUUAUAAAUAACAUGGGCCCCUUAGAAUCUGAACUUCUUGUGCUCACACUUAGUACACUUUGAGGUCUUGGUCUCACAAUUUGAAAAGUCAAAAUGUCUGGGCUCACAAAGAAAAAUGCUUG